UGUGUGUGUGUGUGUGUGUGUGUGUGUGUGUGUGUGUUUUCACCAGCGCGCGCGCGGAAAGGACCUGGGGAGGACAAAGUAUCUAUCCCAGGACCUCAGCCGCUGCAGCCUAGGGCCGAGCGCGGAACCGGUUGCGGGGCCCGGAGCCGCCGACUUUCCCUGGAAUCGUACACGAGGUUCCGACUCCGGCGUGGCAGCGGCAAGACCGAGGGAAGUGAGCGACGUCCCAACUCCGGGUCCGGCCGCCAUCCCGCCGCGUCCCUCCGCCACGGGGGCGCGAGGGCCUCUGGAACCGGCGGCAAAGUCGAGCGAAGUUUGGAGGGCGGCAGGAAAGGCGGGACCGCGGCCGCCAGCAGGACCGUCCAGCCUCGCCGCCCUGUGGCCUCCCUCCCUGGAGUGUGGCGAGGUAGCGCGCGGGGAUUCUCGAACUCAUCCUUGAUUCCUGGGCCCCUCUGGACUAAGCAGCUUUCGCAGAGGAGGUAAUUAUACCUCCACCUGCCAUUGAACCGUCCUGUCCUCCCGAGGGCUGUUCCGGACCGCUCCGAGAAGGCAGCUUGGCAGAGCACUUGGUGUUUGGAAAAGGCUAGAAGUUACCAGGAAACAGGUCUGAUAAAUCAAGUGAAGGGAUAGAAAGGAACCCCCUAUAAAGUAACAUGACGCUUUAUUGCCUGGGUUAUAAACGGGUCCUGAGGUGUUUCGCACAGCAGCUUCCAAGAUGAUCUGGGCCACACAGUGAGCGGCACGGGAUUAACUGCAC